ensembl:lncRNA
CAACAAACUAAAAGUCCACGAUGGUGACAGAAGUGUUGUUAAACAUUUUUUCUCCUAGGAAAUAAGAAUAUAAGUUCCGUGGGGGAUGUGAAAGCUGUAAACAUCUGUCAAACAGAUUCUCUUGAAUACAGAAGGGUGAUUCUUUCAAACUCCUCAAGAUUUGUGUUGAAGCAAUGGUGUUCUGAAGAGCUACAGUGUUUCACAGCGUGUCGUGGGAAGUGCACUUUCUACAAGUAAAGUACACACCAUUUCCAUCCAGCCAUCUGAAUAAGCAGUCUGGUGAGGCUAUGGAUACACCUGUGCUCCAUAACACCUUAGGUUUCAUGAAGACACUGCAUCGAGGCUGACAUCCCUGUCUUUUUCCACUUCAAGUGCUGGGUUUCCUUCCUGUAACUCAUGAUUCAUACUUUCCCGAUUGAAAUAAUGUAAACUAGUUUCAAUUUGUGUAAUCUUGGUCACCGUGUAAGAUUACACAAAAUGUAUGUUUGGCAAUAGCUGUGGAACACAGACCCCAGUGUCUUCUGAAAAAAAAAAAAAAAAC